GCGCGCGUUUCGUGUGUGAAGAAGAAUACGGGCGGAGGGGUCAAGCUGCAAAGCAGUAACCCAUAAAAACCACAUCCUGGGCAGCAACCCCCCUCGAAAGAAGCGAGGCUUGCAUCCCGUAAAUACGCCAGUUUCCCUGAAUCCCGAAUUAAAUCCGUUUUAGGCCAGGCUGCAAAGGUAAUCCUUAAUUUGCAAAGGUUACGUUCGCAGUCUGGUCUGCCACGCUGGGGCCACCGGUUCUGCCUUCAAUUCCCGCUUCGGGCGUGGGCGGCGUGUACACCAGCCCUCCGCCUCCCCCCAGCCACGUCUGCCUUCCUCCACUUUGCUUUUCUGCGCUCUCGUUUCCCACCGCCGCCUCGUCGGGGAAACAGCCCAGGCGCGCCGCUUUGCAGAAAGAGAAGCGCCUUAGCAAAAAGGCUCCGCCGCCCGGAACUGGAUGGUGAUUGCGGCGCUGGAUGCUCACCAGCUCCCCGCAGGAGCCGUUCCCCUGCUCUCCCGCCUCGGGCUGGGCGGCGGCGGCGCUCGAAUAGCCGGGCGCGAACAAGACGCGCGGCGAAGCUUAGCUGGGAGGUGGCGCGAGCUGCCGCUGCUGGGAAUCCCGUUUCCUCUUUGGCCUAGUGAGCGCAGGCGGCGGCGGCGGCGGCAGCAGCCUUGCUUAACGCAAGAGGGGACGGCGUCUCGCUGCCCUUUGGCGAGGUCCUGGGCCCUAGAUGGAAACUUCACUGCAGAACUGGAAGACAAGAGAAUAUUUUUCUCCAUGUUGCUGAGUAAAGUGCACAACAUUGCUGCAGGAGGACGUCACCAGUAGGGCUUUGUAAGCCACUGUACCUUAACGAUCAAUUACUUCCUCUUUCUGUUCCAUUGUUACUGCUACGAUUGCAGUCUUAGGCUCACAUAACUUUGGAGUAAGUGCUAUUGUACCCUAUAGGUAUUAUUUCUGAGUAAAUGUACAUAGUUCACAUUAUAUGACAGUCAAAGCUGCCCCCUCGCUGUACCUUUGUUCCACAUUUCAGAGUAUAUGGGACUGUCGGUCCCUGUUUUACCGCUGUGGUUUGUUUGCUUAUUUAUUGUCCUUUUUCGUUCAUUUUAUGCACUUUGAACAUUGUAGUUGCUGAGAGGAGCACCACCAUGUGGAAGAGAAUUUUUGUGGUUGAAAUGUUAAUUUUGAGCAUUCACUAGAGUGCAGAGACAGAUAAGGUUAGUUUAUUUCACUGUAAAUGAAGAUGUCCCUUAAAGUGAAACUCUGCAGAGUAAAAGCAAAUUGUAGGGCAAGUUUUAGUCAAUAUUUGUAUGGGCAACAUAGCCAUAAAUAGAAGAAUUCCCUGGCAUCUGUUAUCCUUCCAUACCUUUUGCUUUAUGUCCAGUGACACUUAAAAGAUUGCAGAUACAUAUAUCAUCAUGGGCUUGCUAUGAAGGUUUCGGCCCAUGGCUGCCAUAUUCUGGAUCCCUAAUACAGUGCUUGAGAGUAAUAGUGAGCCCAUGACAUAUUCCUGAAUGAUUCUUUUUAUUUAAAAAAAAAAAAUGGAAAGCCAACCUGUUGCAGGGCAAAACGUCAACCCCACAAAACGUCAACCCCAUUCUGCUUUCAGUGAUCCUGUGGGACUCAGAGGCAUUCUUAGAAAAUCAAAUGGCCAAUGACUAGAGCUAAGCACUUUGUUUCUCUUUUGGUAAAGGGGUGCUUUAUCAUGGGCUGAAUGCCCAUCAUGGAACUUUUUCUGGGAAUGUCCUUGAACAUGCUCUCAAACUUCCAGGUCUGCCCACUGACUCAAAAAGAUUGGGGUCCUUUGCUCUCCAUCAUACUUUUAAGGAAGAGUUAGGUAACCUGUUUUGGAUUGUAGACACUCAGUUGUAGGUGGUGUGCAAAGUAGGUUGAGCCAAAGGGAAAUGGGCAAAGCUAGAAGAGGAAGGAAGGUGAGGGUACAGCAAAUAAGAUGAGGGUUUAAGUAUUUAAUAAGUUAAAUAUAUGAAUAAAAGCAGUGGCCAGCCCAGGGGCUCCAGAAGAUAGAUAGGAGAGUGUUACAUAUGAUAACCUAUUCAUAUAUAUUCUUGUCAGUAUCAGCCAAUAUUUUUUCUUCAAAUUGAAGUUACUUCAGCCUUUAUUUGUUUUCCUCGACUCACUUUGUCCACAAAUGAGGUGUUUGAACAGAAUGUCAAGUUUAAACAGCUAAGUGAUCAACUGCAAAAUACUUCUGACGUUUAAUUUUACGUGUUUUCCAUAACCAGGAAACACCUACCAGUGUAUGCAUUUUUCAUUUGUCCAUUUAUCUUUUUCUAACCCAGAUCUAAAAUCUUAAUUCUUUUAUAUAGUUGGACUAUAUAAUCUAAUCUGUAUGGGAUUAGAUGAAAAUUAGAUGUAUAUUGCCUUUUGCAUAGUGUUAUGUUCUCUGGAUGAAAUUUUUCUUUUUCUCUUGCACACUUUUUCUCACGCAUACCUUCAUCCUUGAUGCUGUAAGAGGAGAGACAGGUUAGUCUAUGGUAGCUAAAACUCAGAAGUCUGGUAGCACUUUUUCAAAUGCCAUUAAAAGGCAUCAGAUUUCAUGAGGUAUUUUUUUACUGUCAUUCUUGGUAUUCCCUGUGUGUCCCAUCACAAUGCAAAUCUGAGACUGUGCCAUAGAAUUGUUACUACAUUAAACAAUUAGACCCAUCUUUUCAAGAGCCGGGGACAGCAGCCUUCAGACCCUGAAUGCCUUCCUGAGCUGGCAUAGUGCAAACGGUCCCAAGAUCUACUGCAUAAAAAGUAUUCUGUUCCCCCCUCCCCACGAUGGUUUCACACCAUUUUAAUUGAAUAACAUAUUGCUGGGCUACAUUUAUAAACUAGAUUUAAAAAUUGCUGAUAGUAUUGUUUUUGUAUUGAAAUGCAAGGUAUACUCUCUUGUUAUGUAUAGCUGUUACUAUUGUUAAGCUUUCUGUUAUGUAAACCAACUGAGUAGGCUUCACUUCAAAAGUUUGACAAUGGUUUAAAUAAAUAAAUAUGAUCAAGGCUA